rnacentral:rRNA from 13 species
GAGUGGCGAACGGGUGAGUAACACGUGAGUAACCUGCCCACAACUUUGGGAUAACGCUAGGAAACUGGUGCUAAUACUGGAUAUGUGCUCCUGCUGCAUGGUGGGGGUUGGAAAGCUCCGGCGGUUGUGGAUGGACUCGCGGCCUAUCAGCUUGUUGGUGGGGUAAUGGCCUACCAAGGCGUCGACGGGUAGCCGGCCUGAGAGGGUGUACGGCCACAUUGGGACUGAGAUACGGCCCAGACU